rnacentral:tRNA from 1 species
UGGUUCGGUAGCUCAGCUGGAUAGAGCAACGGUCUUCUAAACCGUGGGUCGUGAGUUCGAAUCUCACCCGAAUCACCAG